rnacentral:rRNA from 1 species
AGAGUUUGAUCCUGGCUCAGGAUGAACGCUAGCUACAGGCUUAACACAUGCAAGUCGAGGGGAAACGAUAUUGAAAGCUUGCUUUCGAUAGGCGUCGACCGGCGCACGGGUGAGUAACGCGUAUCCAACCUGCCCAUAACUAAGGGAUAAUCCGUAGAAAUGCGGUCUAAUACCUUAUGUGUUCCGACGAGGACAUCUGAAUUGGAAUAAAGAUUUAUCGGUUAUGGAUGGGGAUGCGUCUGAUUAGAUUGUUGGCGGGGCAACGGCCCACCAAGUCUGCGAUCAGUAGGGGUUCCGAGAGGAAGGUCCCCCACAUUGGAACUGAGACACGGUCCAAACUCCUACGGGAGGCAGCAGUGAGGAAUAUUGGUCAAUGGGCGGGAGCCUGAACCAGCCAAGUAGCGUGCAGGAAGACGGCCCUAUGGGUUGUAAACUGCUUUUGCAUGGGGAUAAAGUGCUCCACGUGUGGAGUAUUGCAGGUACCAUACGAAUAAGGACCGGCUAAUUCCGUGCCAGCAGCCGCGGUAAUACGGAAGGUCCGGGCGUUAUCCGGAUUUAUUGGGUUUAAAGGGAGCGUAGGCCGUGGAUUAAGUGUGUUGUGAAAUGUAGGCGCUCAACGUCUGACUUGCAGCGCAUACUGGUCCACUAGAGUGGCGCGGCAACGCGGGGCGGAAUUUGUCGUGUAGCGGUGAAAUGCUUAGAUAUGACGAAGAACCCCGAUUGCGAAGGGCAGCUCGCGGGGAGCGCAACUGACGCUGAAGCUCGAAAGUGCAGGUAUCGAACAGGAUUAGAUACCCUGGUAGUCCGCCACGGUAAACGAUGGAUGCCCCGCUUUUCGGGUCAUACGACCGUGAAGGCCCAAGUGAAAACAUUUAAGGCAUCCCACCUGGGGAGUACGCCGGCAACGGUGAAACUCAAAGGAAUUGACGGGGGCCCGCACAAGCGGAGGAACAUGUGGUUUAAUUCGAUGAUACGCGAGGAACCUUACCCGGGCUUGAAUUGCAGAUGAAGGAUCCAGAGAUGGUGACGCCCUCCGGGGCAUCUGUGAAGGUGCUGCAUGGUUGUCGUCAGCUCGUGCCGUGAGGUGUCGGCUCAAGUGCCAUAACGAGCGCAACCCCUCUCUUCAGUUGCCAUCAGGUAGAGCUGGGCACUCUGGAGACACUGCCACCGCAAGGUGUGAGGAAGGUGGGGAUGACGUCAAAUCAGCACGGCCCUUACGUCCGGGGCUACACACGUGUUACAAUGGGGGGUACAGCAUGCCGGCUGCCCGCAAGGUCAGUCCAAUCACGAAAUCCCUCCUCAGUUCGGACUGGGGUCUGCAACCCGACCCCACGAAGCUGGAUUCGCUAGUAAUCGCGCAUCAGCCAUGGCGCGGUGAAUACGUUCCCGGGCCUUGUACACACCGCCCGUCAAGCCAUGAAAGCCGGGGGUGCCUGAAGUCCGUGACCGCAAGGAUCGGCCUAGGGCAAAACUGGUAAUUGGGGCUAAGUCGUAACAAGGUAACC